CUCAUUAAAUCAGUUAUAGUUUAUUUGAUGGUCUCUUUGUUCUUCUUUUUACCUACUUGGAAAACCGUGGUAAUUCUAGAGCUAAUACAUGCGCAAGGUCCCCGAGCGCGGAGAGUAGGACUUCACGGUUCUACUCUUGCAUGCGUAGAGGGAUGUAUUUAUUAGGUUAAACAACCAGCAUUUUUUUCAUUUCUGGUGAUUCAUAGUAACUCUUUCGGAUCGCAUUCAUG
rnacentral:rRNA from 1 species